ACAAACACUGGCGGCGUGCCUAACACAUGCAAGUCGUACGAGAAAGUCGGCUUCGGCCGAUGAGUACAGUGGCGCACGGGUGAGUAGCGCGUGGGUAAUCUGCCCCCCGGUCAGGAAUAACCCGCCGAAAGGCGGGCUAAUACCCCGAUAACACUGACGCUCCGCGGAGCGUCUUUCAAAGAAGGCCUCUGUUUACAAGCUUUCGCCGGAGGAUGAGCCCGCGUACCAUUAGCUAGUUGGCAGGGUAAUGGCCUACCAAGGCUACGAUGGUUAGCUGGUCUGAGAGGAUGGCCAGCCACACUGGAACUGAGACACGGUCCAGACUCCUACGGGAGGCAGCAGUGAGGAAUAUUGCGCAAUGGAGGCAACUCUGACGCAGCCAUGCCGCGUGCAGGAAGAAGGCGCUACGCGUUGUAAACUGCUUUUAACCGGGAAGAAACCCCUCUACGUGUGGAGGGUUGACGGUACCGGAGGAAUAAGCACCGGCUAACUUCGUG
rnacentral:rRNA from 1 species